rnacentral:rRNA from 1 species
GAUGAACGCUGGCGGCGUGCCUAAUACAUGCAAGUCGAGCGAACAGACGAGGAGCUUGCUCCUCUGAUGUUAGCGGCGGACGGGUGAGUAACACGUGGAUAACCUACCUAUAAGACUGGGAUAACUUCGGGAAACCGGAGCUAAUACCGGAUAAUAUUUUGAACCGCAUGGUUCAAAAGUGAAAGACGGUCUUGCUGUCACUUAUAGAUGGAUCCGCGCUGCAUUAGCUAGUUGGUAAGGUAACGGCUUACCAAGGCAACGAUGCGUAGCCGACCUGAGAGGGUGAUCGGCCACACUGGAACUGAGACACGGUCCAGACUCCUACGGGAGGCAGCAGUAGGGAAUCUUCCGCAAAGGGCGAAAGCCUGACGGAGCAACGCCGCGUGAGUGAUGAAGGUCUUCGGAUCGUAAAACUCUGUUAUUAGGGAAGAACAAAUGUGUAAGUAACUGUGCACAUCUUGACGGUACCUAAUCAGAAAGCCACGGCUAACUACGUG